UCCAGAUCGCAGCCAGUUAAUAACUGCUGAGGACCUUCCCCUCCCCAAAAGUUUGUUGAGUAAACACUCAGGCAUCAUGCUGUGGAUCUGGAGCCUGAAGACAGACGAGCACACAGGCGACGAGAGCAAGAACACAUGAGUUCUAAAGGCCUGAGACAAUGAUUCAUUUGUUCAGAGAGAAGAACCACCAGUGGAUCAUUUGCCAUCCAACUCUUUCAACAAAAACAUCUAUUUGCUUAUCGAGAGUCUAAAUUUCGAAAUGAAUUCCCGGACUGGUGUGAUCAGAGGUCAGUCGUACCCGCCCACAUUCACUAAUUUAUCCAGCCUGGUCCCCCUCUGGACUGACAUUAUAUCUUGAACUCAUAUUUGAGCCUUUGAUUGCUUCUGAGCACACUACACACCUUUGGUACACCGGGAUCUACACGGAUACGGAUGUCAUUUUGAGAAUCCUUCACUAGUGAGAUGACGUUUUGUAGGAAAACCAACAAAUCCCAGUUUAGUACGUUCAAAUGCUGUUUAUGUACAUGUUUGCAGUGGAUCUGAAGCAAUUAAAUAAAAAUAUGUUGCUAGAGAGGAAUUGUGUCUCUCUUUGCUUCAAGUCCAGUAGUCUCCACAUUUUCUGUCUUCACAGUGAUCCACAGUCAGCACAUUUCAUUUGUCCUAUUAUCACAACAUUGUCAUUGCUUCAGUCUGUGCUAAUGAGCUCGUGUUAGCAUGCUGACACUCUGAACUAAUAGGAGGAUGGUAAGCGUUACACGUGCUUAUUGUUAGCAUUCUAUCAUUGUCAUUGUGAGAGUGAUAGCAUCCUGAUGUUAGCAUUUAGCUCAAAGUGCUGCUGUCAGAGCAUCAGGAUGACUGCAGACUACUUUUCUUGUUAAUCCAUCUUGAUUAGUGGUGGUGAAACUGAAUCAGUGCUGUCGUGACUCUGUCAGUGAACCUUCAGACACUGUGGUCCAACAUGAAGGCUGGUUCUACAGCUUCAGGCCCACCUGCAGCACGUCCACGCAUCUGCAUACUUUGUGUUGAUGUUGCUUUUACCUUUUACUGAUUCACACGUUCAUGUUCAGUGGAAGGACUGUGGAUUCAUGUUUAACAAUCUAUACUUGUGUUUCUCCUCUGACUGAAAGGAUUAAACUGACUCAGCACAGCUGUGAUCCUGUUAAUGAACCAUCAUGAAUUGUGCUGCCAUCAGAAUCGUUGGCAGCCACAGUGGAGGGAGCGCUCCAAACAGUUUGUAGACAAAAUAACACAGAGGUCUCUGUUAAAAUUCCUGACAAACAUUUUAUUCCGACUGUCUCAGUCAGUAGUGGACCAUAUAAACUGCAUUCAUGCAUUCAAAGUAUUCAAGAGUCAUUUCAUUCUAAUCGUAAACAUCCAAGCUGACGGUCAAAGAACAAUCAGUCCCAACACAGCCUGUUUUUUAUUGUCUGGCAAUUUUUUUCAAAAGCAAUAACGAUAAAA